GACAGAGGGUGCAAACGUUGUUCGGAAUUACUGGGCGUAAAGCGCGCGCAGGCGGACUGAUCAGUCCGGGGUGAAAUCUCACGGCUCAACCGUGAGUGGUCCCUGGAUACUGUCAGUCUUGAGGUGUCUAGAGGAGAGCGGAAUUCCCGGUGUAGUGGUGGAAUGCGUAGAUAUCGGGAAGAACACCAGUGGCGAAAGCGGCUCUCUGGGGACCACCUGACGCUGAGGCGCGAAAGCUAGGGUAGCAAACGGG
rnacentral:rRNA from 1 species